GACGAACGCUGGCGGCGUGCUUAACACAUGCAAGUCGAACGGAAAGGCACUGCUUUUGUGGGGUGCUCGAGUGGCGAACGGGUGAGUAACACGUGAGUAACCUGCCCUUGACUUUGGGAUAACUUUAGGAAACUAGGGCUAAUACCGGAUAGGAGCUCCUGCUGCAUGGUGGUUGCUGGAAAGUUUCGGCGGCUGGGGUAGGAGUCGCGGCUUAUCAGUUUGAUGGUGGGGUUGUGGCUUACCCAGGCUUUGACGGCUAGCCAGCCUGAGAGGGUGACCGGCCACAUUGGGACUGAGAUGGGGCCCAGACUCCUACGGGGGGCAGCGGUGGGAAAUAUUGCACACUGGGCGGAGUGCUGGUGCAGCAACUCCGCGUGCUGGAUGACGGCCUUCGGGUUGUAACCCGCUUUCGCGUGUAACGUUGCGAGAGUGACGGUAUUUUGUAAAGAAGCGACGGCUAACUACGUG
rnacentral:rRNA from 1 species